rnacentral:rRNA from 1 species
CAGCCGCCGCGGGAAUACGAAGGGGGCUAGCGUUGCUCGGAAUGACUGGGCGUAAAGGGCGCGUAGGCGGUCACGAUAGUCAGAUGUGAAAUUCCUGGGCUUAACCUGGGGACUGCAUUUGAUACUGUGUGGCUUGAGUGUGGAAGAGGGUCGUGGAAUUCCCAGUGUAGAGGUGAAAUUCGUAGAUAUUGGGAAGAACACCGGUGGCGAAGGCGGCGACCUGGUCCAUAACUGACGCUGAGGCGCGAAAGCGUGGGGAGCAAACAGGAUUAGAUACCCCUGUAGUCCCUGUCUCUUAUAC